rnacentral:lncRNA from 1 species
AACUUUUUGAAAGCAGCUCGUGACCCCGAAACUGCAUCCCCCGGAGCCGGGGACCCAGGCGCCGGGCGGGCGGGUGAACCCGGUCAGUCCCCUCCCCGUCCCCGAAACCCCCGCCUCCGGGUGGUGGCGACCUGGCCUCUCCCUGCCACUGCCCGGCCAGCCCCGGAGGGAGGCUGGGCAGGUGCUGCGGGCUCUGCCGAAAGCGCUGAAAUAAAAAACCAUCGCCACUCAGGGAGAACUGAGGCAAGUGGGGCUGAGACUCUGGCGACACCCCCGCCCCCCAGCCUCUGCCCCAGCGCCUGCCGCCCUGCCGCCCUGCCGCACCCCGCCUGCUUGGGUGGCGACCGCGGUUCCGGAACGCGAAGCAGGGCAGAGGGCUGCAGAGAGGCGUGUAGCUUUGUGCGCCAGGACCCGGUGGGGCAGGUGGCAGCCCCGGGCUGUCCGCGCCUCCCAGCAGAGCCGAGCUCGGCGCCGCCCACCGAGCCCACCUCGCGGUCCAGCCGCCGCCAGCGCCUUUCGGCUCUGGCCUGAAGCAGUACUCCCGCCUCCUGGAGCGGCCGCCCGAUCCUAGCGCGGAGCUGCGAGCCUGACCGGCCGCGUCUGGCAUGGUCAGAGAAAGAAUUUUCUUUUCCCAACUCCGGCUUUUGGUUUUGUGUGUCCACCUUGCGCAACUCCGGAGCCAGCCGACCCCACAUGGAUUCUCAACAGGUGGCCGGGUAAGUCCGUUUAAAGAAUUCUGGUUAUAUGGUCAGCCCCUCCCCGACCUUCUUCCUUUUCCCCUCCCUCUUCCCCCUUUGGCUGGGCCGGGUUCCCCGUGCUCCUCCCGCAGGCGACGGCUGGGGUGGUGGUGGGGGAAGAGGCGCCCUUCCCCUGGGGGUCUCUGGGCUCCGAGUUGCAGCCCAGGAAGCCUGGCGGGCGGCCCCCAAGGAGUUCCACCCGGUACCCCCAAGUCCCGAUCACUCUUAGCUCCUUGGUCUGGGCCCUGGCGCCCUGAGAGGGGGAGGGAGAAAGAACGCGCAGCAGCACCUCAAAAGCCGAAGUCCCCGGGAAGGGGGACAGGGGACCCGGUGGCCGGGCAGCCUUUGUGUGGGGGUUUACGGCGGAAACAGAACUAUUCUUCUUGUGUGAGAGGCCCGGGAUGUGGCCAGGGGGAGCCCGCGCCAGCCGUACAAUAGCCGGCAGAAGAGCGCCUCAGCAGCCGGGGUAGGAGUGGGGUAGGGUGGGGUAGACCUGGGUGGGGGAGGGGAGGGCGAGAGAAGAGGGAGGGGAAGCAGAGAAAGGCAAAGGCGAGAAAUCCAGGGCGUCCGAGUGAAAAGUCGGAAAAUGUUUCCAGAGCGCGCCACAAACAGGCGCGCGCGCGCGCUUGCGGGCGCAUAGUCUCUCUGUCUCUCUCUCGCACACACACAAACACACUCUUACAUGCUCACACUCAUUCCACACAUGGAGCCCACGCACGCGGUUCCUAGUCGUGCAGGGUCGCAUGCCUGGGCACCCAAAGUGAACGCAGAGUAGAGCCGCCCUCCCACCCCCACCAACGGAGAGCCCUCCCGCCCAGCCACAGGCUCCCCGACUGGGGAGCUAGGAGGGCCCCCGGGGCUGGGGCACAGGGAGGAUCUUACCUGCCGAAAGGUAAGGGAAGCCGGGAGCACGGAGCAGCGGCGGAUAAAUAUUCAUUAGUAAGUCUCUCCUUUUAAGCCGCGCGGUGCGCUCUCUGGCUCCUAUCUCUCUUUCCCUCCCUCCCUCUGUCCUCUUGUGAGCCUCUCUCCCCCUCUCGCUCUGUCUUCCCCCCACCCCUUCCUGCGAAAUGCCGGGUGGAUCCCAGUAUAGCUAACCUGUUGGGAAGCCUGAGCCGCGGGCAGCGCCUCCACAGCUGUUUGCUUUUGCUCUUGGGGCGCGCGUUUCCCCAUCCUCUCCCCUCUCUCCUUUUGCCCAGCCCCUCUCCCCCUCCUAAAUUACUACAUCAUUAGCUUUAUUUGGUGGGGGGACAGCUCAGCCAAACGCACCUCCCUAUAGCAGGGUGAAAAGCCGCUGCUCCCCGAGGCAGCCCCAACUCCACCCCUACCCCUGCCUCACCCAUCUCCAUGUCCCUACCCAGUUUUGUUUAUUUUUCUUCUCUCUUUCCAUCUUCACUUCCGUCCUGUACCGACCCAACUCCCUUACCAUUCCUCCCUUCCUCGUCGCUGCCAAUACGGAUCCCAGACGGGGUCGGGGCAGGGAGAUGCCAAGUGAGUAGGUCCAAUAUGCCAAGGUCGGGACUCCACCCUGCCAUGGGCGUGGGGGUAGUCCUCCAGGUCCCCCUUUCCCACGUAGGCUUUCCACCCUGACCCUAAGUGGGUACCGGGGCAGCUUGGGCCUUGGGAUCAGAGCACCAGGGCGCACAGCAAGGGCCUCAGCCCUCCAGGCCUCAGCGACCUGGAGCCUGGGUCCUUUGACCCGGUCUGGGAGACUGCAUGGCGGAGGGGAGGUGGCUUCACUUUGUACGAAUGCUCAGGAGAGACACAACCACCGACCAUCGGACUGACGUUCUCCCUUUUCAAACAAACUGACCUUAAGUCAGCAGUAAGUCUGCAUCAUUCUCACGAGAAAACACAUCUACAAGAUUCUAGAAAUGCACAAGGAACCGCUUCUAGUCGCGCGUGAACACGUGCACACACACCACACCCCUCACCCCCACACACCCGAGGCCACCGUUCCCGCUGGCCUCUGAAACCUGUAGGCGCGCAGGCCCGAAAGGCUAAUUCUAGCGGAGGAAUACAUCGCAAAACCGCCCCAGGAGAGCCCUGGCCACUCUUGUUGGCCCCCAUUCUUCCAGAUCCAGGCCUCUAGGAUGCCCCAGGGACCCUGAAGGAUGGUGAGGCCCCAGGGUGCUUGGGGGUGGUCCGGGAAGCUCACUCUGGCAGCCCGCUGAGCGCUGCGUGUUGAGGUAGGAGCUGGAGGAGGGGCCAAGGGAGGCGGGCCCAGGCCAAUUCCAAGUUACAAAUACAGCUGCUCCUGCGAGGCCUAGGAGAGUUUUGCCCCAAAACGUGCAUAUCAUUCGCCCCGAGACGCCAUGACCUCCCCAGACAUAGCCCCAGGGCGCACUCGACCUCGAGGUGGCUUGGGUGAUGGGAGCAAUCGAGAGCCAGGAGACGACCUCGAGACCUCCGCCCGCCCAUUCAGCCCGGCCCAGCCACAGUCCACCGAGAGACGCCCUAGAUGAUGGUCCUAUCCUUCCCAAAGGGUGGCAAGGCGCAGGAUCGCGGAGGGUCUCCCUCCUUGUCCUGAAAGGUUAAGAAAUUGGGCAGAUGAAGGUAUUUAAAAGAGGCCUAGAGGGCCCUGGGGCCGAAAGCCCUAUCAACCUCACACUCCACCCAAAGUCCCGCGUUUGCACGUGCACACCUCCUUCUCCCCAUGCAGACCCAGGGGGUCGCGCACGUUUGAGCUCAGACUCAAGCUGAGUCACCUGACUAUGCCUGGAACGUACAGGCAAUCGUACCGAAUACACAUGGGAGAAUUAAAGGAACACUACGGGAGAAUUAAAGGAACACUAACAGGAAUUUGAGGAAUAAAGAAGUGCCCACAGGCAUAAUUAUUUGAAUACACGGGUGCACACCCUGUUGUCCAGAUGCAGACAAAAGCCACAGUGCCUGCGAGGAGUGACCCCAACCACAAGGGCAGAUGUACAGGAAGCCGUGAACGGGAGAGUUCGCCGAAUGAGGACGCAGGCCGCAAGGCCAAGGGGGCUUCCUGCUAGAGGGACGUUGGCUCGGAGGGAGAAACUUUGUUGAGCCGACUGGGUGAAAGGUUUCAGGUCAAGUCCUGGCCACUAGAAAGAACCAAGGCCUCAUCCACUCAGAGCCAACCUUUUAGCCUUCCUCUCAGCUCUGUUGGAGAUACCCAGAAAAGGACAAUCCAGGAAAGAUUCAUUUUGACCGAGAUUGUUUUUAUUGUUUAUUUCUUAUUAUUUUUGACCUAGGGGUUUGCAUUCUGAAAAAGGAUUUGGGUGGCGCGUAUGCAAGUUCUCACUCACUGCUGGGAGAUUCAUAAUUCUUAAUAGGAACAUUCAGCUCUAACCAUGGCCUGAGAAGCUGGAGGGCCCUUAUUUUGCCCCUUUCACCCUUCUUAUCCUAAACUUGAUCAUUCAAAAGGAUCCACACCCUCCUGCCCCCAACUCCACCCCAAUACCCUGUAUGUCAGAUAUGUUUGCAGAAGAACACACUUCAAAGUAAACCAAAUUACAUAGUUUAUUUAAAAAAAUUUUUUGUGAUAUAUUGGGAAGUCCUCACCCCCUGCUCCCCUGUCUCUGGCUGAGCACGGUGUCCGGGCGGAGUUGGGGGGUUGCCAAGAGGAGUUUCCAGAGUGGCUCUUGGGCAAGGCCUGAGAAACUACUCUACAUAGGCUUGUUUUUAGUGUGAGCUCCCUUUGCCUAACCAGUUCUAGUGGCUACCUCCCGGUUUCCUGCAGAAGAGGCAGGCUCCCUGGGAGCAGGGGCGCCCUCGCUUCCACUUCACCUCCUUUCCUAACUUUCUCUCUUUUGAGCACAUCUUCUGAGCCUCGCUCUCUCAUCUGAAAGUGGAGUGUAAGUCCAAGAAGAUUCAUUUAGACAAAGAAGGUGGAAAAAAAGGACUUUCUGGGCCAGCAAGUCGGAUGACCACCCUCCAAGGGGCAGAGGAGGGCCCAUUUUGUGAAGAAGAAAUCAACUACCCGGAAAACGCCACAGGAGGACAUGUUUCUGCAGAUGUAGUUGCCCUAGAAACAGAAGAGUAUGGGGGUGUGAAUGUCUUCUCUUUUGGGGGCAAACACUAUGUCCUUUUCUUUUUCUAGAUACAGUUAAUUCCUGGAAAUUUUAGCGAGUUUGUUCUUGUGGAUAUUUUGAACAAUAAAGAGUGAAAAUCACUUUGGAGUCACUUAAUCUUCGUUAGAAGGGCAGUUUCUUCCAGGGCCAUUUUCUUUCACCAGAUUUGUUUUUCCUCGUUCCCAAAUGAGGUAGUUUUAAAAAUCAAAGUCCACUUGCUAACUCACCUGGGAAAGAGACUGCGACAGAAGGAAGAGAAGUAAAUAGACAUCACUCUCAAACUAAAAGUGUAACUUUCAUUCCUGGCAGCUGAGAUUCAGAACACAAAGAAACAAACUCGUUUACCUUUGAGUAUUUCCCCCGUUUGGGUAAUUUAUCUAGAGCUUUCCCAACAAUUAAUCACAGCAUCUUGAAGUUGGAAAUGUAUGCUAUUAUUUUCAGCCUUACAAGGUUCGUCAAACUCUGCUUCUCUGGUUUUAAAAACUGUUUGCUUCUACAUAGCUAUGCCCGUUGCAACAUUUAUCACUCAAGCAGAAAAGCAACUCGUUUUCUCACAGCCUCAAAUGCCCCGUGUACAGUCACUGGAGCGAAUUUAUUUUUCUCUGUCUUUCCCAAAUGCCCUUGUCACCUCUGCCAGGGCCACAAGACUCGGGGCAAAACUUCGGAGGUUUGAGACCUCUUGAGUGUGUGGAUCGCUAUUAUUGUUAGUUUUUUUGUUGGGAGAAAUCGUGCUCGGUGAUCGCGUGCGGUUGUCUCUCUCUAAGCCGACUAGGGUUGCCUGCGCCUUCCUCAGCAGAAACUCCUAGAGGAAGCUAACCAUUUCCGCUGCCCGGGGCAAAGGGCUGAACGGUGUUGUCGGGUCUAGGGUUGGGGUGGGAAAGUGAGGACGGUAUGCGGAUCGGGGAGGGGGCAGUCAUCAUCUUCAACAAUAAAUUAAAAUAACCUGAUACCCCUUUAAUCCCUUCCAUCAACAGUGUCAACGCGCUAGAGAGGCCGUCUCACCUCCAAAGGUAUCUUCACUCCCGGAGGGCCCGGGCUCCCAGCCGCAGUCCCACACUGGGCCCGCGCGCCGGAUACGAGGUGCUCCGACGGCAAAAAUCCCAUACAUUUUUAACUACAGUGAUUACUAAAUUAAUAGCAGGCACUAAGACAGAUGUCAAAACGUCUUGAAAAUGUUUAUCUGUGAAUAAUUGAGAAGGUGGUGGGACGCAUUAUCUGAUUGUGUAAUGAAAUAUGUAUGAGGAACAGCUGUUUGCAACAGUCCCCUCCCGCCGCCUCCUCAGCCAAGGCCCUUCUCUAGGAAGCAGGAGUCGCGGCGAAGUUGGUCGCCUACUUCCGUCCACUUGGGAGCCCUCGCGGCCCCUCCCCGGCUGCUGGCAGAAUGGUGGCUCCAGCGCGCCCCAGAGUAGUCCGGUUUCCCGACGGACAACAGCAUGGAGUCCUCCUCAGCCUCGCUCUGUGGGCUCCGUGCCUGAGUGAGGCUCCACCGCCGGCCGCGCUGUCCCUCGCGCCUUCGGGGCCGGCCGCGGGCUCGGCCUGCGGGGACCGAGGGGAGCACUGGCCCGGGCGGCCGCGGAGGCCUGACGUGCGCCCACCGGGCGGUGCGGCCUGCUCGGAGGCGAGGCCCGGGAGCCCCGCGGCUCAGCGGGGCGGGCCUGGGGUCACCGAGGGGUGACGGGGCUCCGGAGAGGGCUUUGUUCGCGCUCUCGCCACACUGCGCACUUCCUUCCAGCCCCCUGCGGCCCCCACCCCAAACCUCCGCGCCCCCGCCCUGUUUGUUUUUCCAGCCCCGCGCCCUCCACCCCAACACGCAAACAGCCCUCGGGGCUGCGUCAGCGGCCUGAGGCCGUGGCCCAGGUCAGGCCUGAGUCCAAAUGGGGCCAGCACGGCGAGCCCUGGCCCCGCAGGAAGCGGUGUGAGGGGGAGAGGGAGCUCCAGGGCCUUCCUGGCGCGAGAGGGGCAGGCGAAGGCCGGGGGGAAGGUGGUCCAAUAGGGCGCACGGCCUGGGCGGGCGGCGAAGGCCCGAGGCCUGGGCUCGGAAGGGUGCGGGCGGCCUGCGCGGCUGCCCAGCCCCUGCCGCUGUCCCCAGCCCCAGCUGGACAGGGGAGGCGCGGCGGAGUGGGGGUGAGGAGGACGCCAGGAAGGGCCCCAUCGGGCCUGGGCCUUGAAG